rnacentral:rRNA from 1 species
UACGUAGGGUGCAAACGUUGUUCGGAAUCACUGGGCAUAAAGCGCGUGUAGGCGGUCCGGCAAGUCAGGUGUGAAAUCCCCCGGCCCAACCGGGGAACUGCAUUUGAUACUGCCGGGCUAGAGUGCAGGAGGGGAGAGCGGAAUUCCUGGUGUAGCGGUGAAAUGCGUAGAUAUCAGGAGGAACGCCGGUGGCGAAAGCGGCUCUCUGGCCUGCUACUGACGCUGAGGCGCGAAAGCUAGGGGAGCAAAC